GGAUGUGAGGGCGAUCUGGCUGCGACAUCUACCACCCCACUGAUUGCCAGGGUUGAUUCGGCUGAUCUGGCCGACUAGGUGGGUGUUCCCUUCCUCCUUCAAUGAUCCAUGUGCAUCCCUCCCAAAGCUGUCACUCAGGUGAAGAGGACGACCACCCCCGACAGAGGAAGACCGUUACUCGAUCAAGGUUAUAUGAGUAGCUGCACUCCCCUGCUAGAACCUCCAAACAAGCUCUCAAGGAAGCUAAGACAGGAGGAUCACUGUGAAUUCAAGGCCAGCCUGGGUAACAAAGUGAGUUUAAGGCCAGCCU
rnacentral:snRNA from 1 species